rfam:Cajanus cajan Scaffold131581_1, whole genome shotgun sequence.
AGGUGCGAUCAUACUAGCACUAAUGCUCCGGAUCCCAUCAGAACUCUGCAGUUAAGCGUGCUUGGGCGAGAAUAGUACUAGGAUGGGUGACCUCUUGGGAAGUCCUCGUGUUGCCCCUC